rnacentral:misc_RNA from 1 species
GUAGGUGAACCUGCGGAAGGAUCAUUACAAAUCCACGUCUCUCUUUUGAGACUCGUUGAAACGUUUGAGGGAGGGUAGAACUUCAGGCGCCUUAAACAGCAUCUGGCAGCUCUCUCCCUCUAAAAAACCUUGAGAAAUGUUGAACAGCUGUAUUAAAUUAAAUUUUAAACAACUUAUAACAAUGGAUCUCUAGGCUCUU